GCCGGGGUGGCAGAGCGGUCAAAUGCACCUGUCUGUAAAACAGGCGCCCUUGUUGGCUACAUAGGUUCGAAUCCUAUCCCCGGCACCA
rnacentral:tRNA from 1 species